rnacentral:rRNA from 1 species
UGGGGAAUUUUCCGCAAUGGGCGAAAGCCUGACGGAGCAAUACCGCGUGAGGGAUGACGGCCUGUGGGUUGUAAACCUCUUUUAUCAAGGAAGAAUUUUGACGGUACUUGAAGAAUAAGCAUCGGCUAACUCCGUGCCAGCAGCCGCGGUAAUACGGAGGAUGCAAGCGUUAUCCGGAUUUAUUGGGCGUAAAGCGUCUGUAGGUUGCUUAGUCAGUCUGUUGUUAAAGCCUAAGGCUUAACCUUAGAUCUGCAGUGGAAACUGCUAAGCUUGAGUAUGAUAGGGGUAGAGGGAAUUCCUAGUGUAGCGGUGAAAUGCGUAGAUAUUAGGAAGAACACCAGAAGCGAAGGCGCUCUACUGGGUCAUUACUGACACUCAGAGACGAAAGCUAGGGGAGCGAAUGGG